rnacentral:tRNA from 1 species
GCGAAGUAGCUCAGUUGGUUAGAGCAGCGGAAUCAUAAUCCGAAGGUCGUAGGUUCAAAUCCUACCUUCGC